CCAGUCUCUGGUACCUGCUGCUGUGCAGAGUCAAACAAUUGCUUGUAAUCCAGUUCAAGCUCCCACUCCAUGGUGGCUCAAAUCAGGUUCCAGGUCAGUUGCUUCUGAGAGAGCCAGUAGGUGUUCCCUAUUUUCCCUAAUGUCAUAAAGCCGGGACCUCUCAGGACUUCCCAAUUCAAUUUUGUCCUCAAAGGCCUCCCACAAUAGGCCAGGGCCAUCAUAGUCCUCACCAUCUGGAGGGUCAUCAUCUGCUAGAAAUGGGUACUGCUGUACUGCAUACCACCUUAAGGCCCAGUAAGAAUCAUCCAGCCACAAUUCUUUCUGUACUAGCUCCUCUAAUUUAAACACCCAUUCCACCAGGGGCUGCUCUCCCAAGAAUUGCAUCCACAAAUCGACUUGAUCCCAAAAUUGUUGCAUAAUGGUUGUGAGGGAUUCUCCCCGGAGACAACAAACCUCCUCAAGAACAUUGUUUCAGAGAUCCCAACAGAUCGAGUCCCACCGGUCCAGUUCACCCUUUGUUAAGAAAUGGCCAUCGUACUGGGACAGAGCUGCUUGUAACUCCUCCUCAGAUGGGGAUGCUGCACGAGUGCUAGCUCUAUCCAUUUCCAUGAAUUCCAGAAAGCACAGUGGGAUCCCAGUAGAGGAGCUUAAGGCCUU